rnacentral:rRNA from 1 species
GACGAACGCUGGCGGCGUGCCUAAUACAUGCAAGUCGAACGCCUCUUUUCCCACCGGAGCUUGCUCCAUCGGGAAAAGAGGAGUGGCGAACGGGUGAGUAACACGUGGGUAACCUGCCCAUCAGAAGGGGAUAACACUUGGAAACAGGUGCUAAUACCGUAUAACAAUCGAAACCGCAUGGUUUCGUUUUGAAAGGCGCUUUACGGUGCCGCUGAUGGAUGGAGCCGCGGUGCAUUAGCUAGUUGGUGAGGUAACGGCUCACCCAGGCCACGAUGCAUAGCAGACCUGGGAGGGUGAUCUGACACAUUGGGACUGAGACACGGGCCAAACUCCUACGGGAGGCAUCAGUAGGGAAUCUUCGGCAAUGGACGAAAGUCUGACCGAGCAACGCCGCGUGAGUGAAGAAGGUUUUCGGAUCGUAAAACUCUGUUGUUAGAGAAGAACAAGGGUGAGAGUGACUGUUCACCCCUUGACGGUAUCUAACCAGAAAGCCACGGCUAACUACGUGCCAGCAGCCGCGGUAA